rnacentral:rRNA from 1 species
GAGUUUGAUCCUGGCUCAGAUUGAACGCUGGCGGAAUGCUUUACACAUGCAAGUCGAGCGGCAGCGCGGGGCAACCUGGCGGCGAGCGGCGAACGGGUGAGUAAUGCAUCGGAACGUGUCCAUGUCGUGGGGGAUAGCCCGGCGAAAGCCGGAUUAAUACCGCAUACGCCCGAGAGGGGAAAGUGGGGGACCGCAAGGCCUCACGCGAUUGGGUCGGCCGAUGUCCGAUUAGCUAGUUGGCGGGGUAAAGGCCCACCAAGGCGAUGAUCGGUAGCUGGUCUGAGAGGAUGAUCAGCCACACUGGGACUGAGACACGGCCCAGACUCCUACGGGAGGCAGCAGUGGGGAAUUUUGGACAAUGGGGGCAACCCUGAUCCAGCCAUUCCGCGUGAGUGAAGAAGGCCUUCGGUUGUAAG